GUUCUUUUGUUUUUAAUAUAAGAUCGGGCCUGCCCAUUGAUUAAAAAUAUUAAAAGGCUGCGGUAUUUUAACUGUACGAAGGUAGCAUAAUCACUUGUCUUUUAAUUGGAGGCUAGAAUGAAUGGUUUGAUGAGAAAUAAACUUUCUUUAGAUAAUUUAUUUGAAUUUAAUUUUUCAGUUAAAAAGCUGAAAUUUUUUUAUAGGACGAGAAGACCCUUUAGAGGUUUACUAAUUUUAUAAAUUAUAUUUUUUUGUUAAUUAAUUUAUUUUUUAGAAAAAUUAGUUUUGUUGGGGUGACAAUGGAAUUUUAUUAACUUUUAUUAUUUAUUUUCAUUAAUUUAUGUUUUUUUGAUCCAGAUUUUUUGAUUACAAGAUUAACCUACCUUAGGGAUAACAGCGUAAUCUUUUUGGAGAGUUCAUAUCGAUGAAAAGGUUUGCGA
rnacentral:rRNA from 1 species